rnacentral:lncRNA from 1 species
CCGUAAGCCUGGCGCUCCAGUUUUCAUUCAGCCCGUCUUGUGUGGUGGGUAGGGAACCUAUGUUUGUGGCCAGUAACAGCUUCAGGCUGGCACAUAAGACAUCAGGUUCCCGGACCUUGAGGAGUGGGUCUUGAGAUUGUUGCUUUUGCUGCCCCGUAUCCAAACCCCCUUCCUAUUGGGGGACAACCCCAAAUUAGGUGCAGCAGAGGGGUCAACCACAUGCUGCGAAGACUUCUGGGCAGCCAGGACACGAGCAUGUGCCAGGACUUACCUGAGCAGAGCCACAGACACAAAGACACAGGGAGAGGUAGGCUUUCUCAGGUGGCCUCCGCAGUCGAGGUAGGCCUGAACCAACACGUCGUCUGGCAGCCCAUGGCCGCAUUCUGGCCACAGGGGGCUGGGACCGCGGUCUGGUUGUGCUCUUGCUAGGUAGCCUCCUUGUGUUCCUGCUGCCUCUCAGAGCCUGCUUCUCAUUAAGGCUCUCCUCGGGUCUCCACCACUCCCUGCUGUUUGCCAUUAACAAGUCUGACUCCCUGAUCUCCAUCAAGGGCAGGUGUGUACUGAGCUCUGGAAAGCCAGAGAUAGGAGCCUAAGUAAGUACAGAGCUGGCUGGGAGGGCGCCGUUGGGUAAGGCAGCACGGGAGGACACCUGGAGUGGCCUUGUCAGGUCUCCCGAUGGCUUAGAAGGGUCUCCAUGGGGAGCCAUGCUACCUGAUAGACAGUCCACACUCCAUAAGUCUGCCUCUUUUCUCUGAUCCCUUCUCCCCUCUGUCUACAAACCCUUCCUGAUGCCCGGGUCAUGCAAUUAAAUACUAUUUUUAAAACCAAGUUUUAUCUACGCUCCCUGUGGGUUAUCUCAGCUCCUACAGAGGCUCAGGAAACUGUGACGGCACGAUCGUCACACUGACUUGACAGGAGGCAGCCUGGGAAGUCAUGAUGGAAGAGGCUGCUCUCUUCCUGGCCUGGCCCCUCUUGGGGGUUCAGUGCUCGUCUCUGAAGUCACUGAGGUUUUUGUUGCAGUUUCCCUACGGUAUAGAGCGUGCCCUACAUCGCAGGGCUGGGCUAAGACGGAUUUCUGGCUUUCUUUUCUCAAAAAAUCAUGCUCAUUCAGGCACUGGCGAAUAUAGGUUCUGGUACUGAAGAUGAGCUGUCUGUUAAACUCUGAAUAGGGCUAUUCUCUCUGCAAUUAGAGACUUUUGGCUCAAACAAGAUCUUUUCUGGGAAGCCAUAAGCCUGUAUUCUGAUAUUUCAACAUUUCACCCCUCAUCCUCCCCACCAGCCCUCACUAGGGUUCAUAUCGUCCUAGAAAUGGAACACCACCACAAAGCAGUCACCCACAUGGAUUCUCCCACUUUGCAGGCUUAAGAUAAUGAAGUCAAACACACAUACACAGGCUCCAAAUACCUUUGGUAGAGCUUUACACCCAUAUGUGUGAAGGGCCAUUUCCAAACGGAAUAAUAACUGGAAGGCACGACUAAACCACUGGAAUAAAAUCCCCCUUUGGAUUAGGUAUCAGCAAAGUAAAUUAGUAACAUCUGAGCGCCUGUUAAGACUAGAGAUUCGCCGUUUGCUGGGACUGGCGUUUAUUUCAUUAUUGAAAAGGAAGGGAAAAAACAGAAGGAAUCAAGUCAGCUGUACUGAGUGUCGAUGACACACGUGCCUCCCAUUUUUGAAGCUCUUCUCCCUGGCGCCUCAGUGUACUGUCUGAGCUGCCCCUGGGCUACAACCGUGAUUAAGAGGAGAGGUCUCUCUUUUGAAGGGGUUGGUGGUCUCUUGAGCUGAGGAAGUGGAACACGGGCUCCCUAGCCUCCUUCGUGACUUUGAUCACCAAGUCCCCCGUUACGUUGGAAGAUUAAAGGCAUGUGGACGCCUGGGGGAGGGCAGCCUGGAGGUGACAUUCAAAAGCUCGAUUAGUCUUCUGCGGAUCAGGUAACGCUAAUAAAUGGUGAUAGCAGCCAACUUUCCACGUGUGCACUAUGCAAACCCAUCUGCAGACAGUAGCUCGUUUGAUCAUCAAAAGAUCCCUCUAAAACGAGCACAUUUCACCCGAGGAAACGGCAGUUAGGAAGAUUAUGCGUGUUCUGUUCCACGGACAGCAAAGGGGCAGAGCCUGGUCAAGAAGUCUGGGUUUGCUCUCAGCCCUCACACAACCCUGUCUCCCCGGGAAGCAUGUGGGCCAACAUCCUUCUUACUUUGUGUCUGAGGGUUAAAUUUUCCUGAACCAAGACUAUACAAGUGGCUUUGUAUAAGGAGAUUUGACUGACCUGCAAAUUCUCAGCCAAGGAAGCACUUAGGCAGGUGGUGAGUGAGCGAAGAUGAUA